GAAGGUCCUGAGGAAGUGCCCUCCUCGCUUAUUGAUUUAAACAAACUGGAAUGAAGGCGAAAACCCAACGGGGAAGAAAUUGGUGGUUGAGGAACAGGGCAGAGACCUUCAAGCAUUUGGACAACUUUAGGCAUUGGUGGCCUUAGAUGCAUAUCUUCCUGCGCACACCACAAUGCAACUUUAAUUGCAGUGGAGACCCUCUUGUCAUUCUCGUCUAAAUUCAGCUCUGAAUCAAGGAUUUCUCUCACUUUCCCUUCUUCCAUCAUCCUAAAAGCAUAGGAUGGGAAAUGGGAUUUCUCCGAUUCUCCGAAGAAAGAGAUGGAUCAAAGUUUUUCCUUCCACCGAUAAUCUCAAGCAACAACAUACCAUAGCUAUAAACAUCACUUUUCUCCGAUAUGGCAUAAUUUGUGAUCCAUUCUGGUGCAAGGUACCCCCUGGUUCCUCUUAGGGUCGUGAAAACAUGGCUUUGCUCUCGAUUCAUUAACUUAGCCAACCCAAAAUCUGAGACUUUGGNNNGUGACUAUCAAGAAGCACGUUUUCAGGUUUUAUGUCACAAUGAAUUAUCUUCACAUCACAGUCUUCAUGGAGAUAAGCCAGGCCUUUUGCUGUUCCCAAUGCAAUAUUGAA
rnacentral:misc_RNA from 1 species